UUGUACCAACCCUUUCUAUCAUAUUGUUUUCUAGUCUGGCGGUCAGUCUUGGUUCUCGAGCUCUAAUAUUAUCCAGCACCGGCAUGAUCACUCUACGGCGCCGGCUUUCUUCCGAUCUCCGCCAGCGCCUCGCUGACCUUCACCAUCCAUCGCAUUCCUUCUCCAUCCGCACCUUCUCCCAGGAAAAGGACGGCUUCAAUAGCGGGACCACGAAGCUUGGCCCACCCCCGAUCCAGGUAUCUCUCACUGAAUCCGCAGGAAGAGGUGUCUUUGCCACCCGACGGAUCGGCGCCGGCGAGCUCAUACACACUGCAAAUCCCCUCGUUACUCAUCCAACGCAAUCCGGCCUCGACCGUCCACAAGUCUGUUGUUAUUGUCUAAGGAGGCUGGGGAUGCGAGAUGGUGUUCCUGUUACCUCUGCUCCGAAUGGUGGAUUUUGGUAUUUUUGCAGCGAUGCUUGUAAAGAACGUGCGAAGGUUUUCGUGGAAGUGGAAAGGAGAGCAGAUUGGUCAUUCUAUGAUGAACACUGUAGUAUGCGGCAAUUAAAGUACCCUUUUAUGGUAAAGAGAUUAGCUUGUAUGGUGAUCUCAGGAGGAGCAUCAGUAGACUGUCUUGACAUACUCCAACCAGCCUAUUUACAUCCUCAGACUAUUUUAGAGAUGGAAAAGGAAUUUGAGUUGCUUAAAGCUACUUUUCUGAAGGCUCAGAUUGAUGAUGAACUGAUUGCAUUCCUCACAAAGAGGUGGUAUACUGGUGCAUUAGCACGAUUGCAUAUAAAUUCUUUCCGAAUAGAACUGAUUGGAGGAUCAUAUGAGAGUCUGUUGGCAUCUGCAGCUGCUAUUGUUGAAGGUGAAGCAGCUGUUGGAAAUGCGGUUUAUAUGCUUCCAUCGUUCUACAAUCAUGACUGUGCAAAUCAAGAUUGCCCAUUGCAUCAAAUGGAUGUGAAGAAUGCAUUUCUCAAUGGUGAUAUAGAAGAAGUUUACAUGAAUAUUCCACCAGGAAUGGAAACUUUUUUCGGAAGCAAAAAGGUGGAUAAUGAGGAAGAGCUACUGAGAUUAAAAUAACUCUUAGCCAAAGAGUUUGAAAUCAAGGACCUUGGAUGUCUCAAAUAUUUCCUUGGCAUGAAGGUAGCUAGAUUAAAGGAAGGUAUGUUCUCAAUGUAAAUAUGUCUUACGUUUAUUGAAAGAGACAGGCAUGUUUGGAUGUAAGCCAACAAAUACUCCAAUGGAUUCAACUAAGAAGAUAAGAUCUGGAAAAGAAAAUGUCUCAGUGGACAAGGGAAGAUAUCAGAGACUUGUAGAUCCAAAUGUGAACAUAUUAUGGAUAGAGAAUGCAGAUGCUAAGAUAAGAGCCCUUCGUGAUAUUGAAGCAG